ACUAGUGAAGAAGGUUAGAAGUAGUUGUGUUCUGGAUCUAUUUUGAAGGAAAUACUGAUAGAUUGGAUGGGUAUAAAGACUAUGAGAGAGAAAUCAAGAUUUUUGUGUUGAGUUACUGAAUGCAUGAAAUUGUUCUUAGAUGAGACAGAUCAGGUUGAGCAGUCUCUCUGCUCAACAAAGUAGGAGUGGAAGGGAACUUCCUAACUUGGUAAAAGAUACCUACAGAAGCAAACAACCACAACUUACACAAUACUUACUAUGAAAGAGAAUGCUUUCAUCAUAAGAGCAGGAACAAGGGAAGAAUGUCUCCUUGUCAUUUCUACUUAACAUUGUUCAGGGGGUUCUAACCAAUGCAAUUAAGCAGAAAAAAAGAAGAAAAAGGCAUCCAGUUUGUCAAGAAAUAAGUAGAACUAUCUCUUUUUUGCAGCGGAUAUGAUCUUACAUAUAGAAAAUCCUAAGAAAUCCAUUUAAAGGACUUAGAACUAGUAAGUGGGUAUGACAAGGUUGUAGGAAACAAGAUCAAUAUACAAAAUUCAGAGUUUUGUUGUUUGGUUGGUUGGGUUUGGUUUUUUGAGACAGUGUCAUGCUAUGUAGCCCAGACUGGCCUUUAACUCAUGAUCCUCCUGUCUCAGCUUCCCAAGUACUAGGAUUAUAAGCAUCCACCACCACGCCCAACCAAUUUUUAUUCUAUAUAUGAGCAAUAAAUAUUCUGGAAAUGAGCCUGGGUGGAACCAUCCAGACAGAGGGAGAGAAGAGCUCUGAAUGGGGAGGAGGAUGUCUGAUUUCUAAGCCAAAGAUCAUCAAUAUUGAAAGAUGAGGGAACACCAAUGAGGCAGCUGGACAGCUAGGUGAGUCAUAUCCUGGGGACAAGUAUUUGAGGAAGAAGGAUUUGAGCAAUAGGGUAUGAUGCUGCUGAAGGGUGAGCGAGAUGAGGACUGGGGAUUGAUGACCAUGUAAGUGAAUGAGCAUGGGAGGAAAGCAAAGACAAAGAAUGAGAAAGACAAGGGUAAGAACUUGUACCUUUUUGGGAGAAAAUGUAAUAAAAAUCGAGUGCUAGAAAAAUAUAUAAGUCCACUUAAUUUGUAAAGGUUACUAUCAAUUUCUAUACUGUCUCAUCAUUGUCUCUAGCAGUUUGCUGAGUGGACUAGUCCAUGGAGCCCAGUUUGUGUUGUGUAGGUCUAGGAUUAGUGGCAGGAACAUGAACUGAGAUUGAUUCAACAGGGAUUUGAUAAUGACAUACUGUGCUUGAUGGGGGGAGGUACUUGCCAGAGAAUAAACAUGGGUCAUACUUGGCUACAUAUGUCUUUGUUAGCAAGCAUGAAGCCUGAAGUUUGAUUCCAUGUAAGUUGAAAUCACAAGUAAGUCAGACAUCUUGUGUGAAGCACAAUUCCUUUCUAUAAAUCAUAACAAAUAUUUUCUGUUUUCUUCACAAUCCUGUUUGUAUUUGAGUCUGAAUUACUCAUGUAAGUCUUACACAACCCUGCAAAAUGGGUGGUGGUUUUUAUUUUUGUUUGUUUUUUGUCUUCAUAUAGAAACAGGCUCAGAGAGAUGAAACAACUUGUCACCCUUAUGCUGUUAGGAGGUGAUAGAGCCAAGACUAACUCUUUUAGACUCACAAGCUUGCUACCAGAUUGGGCUGUGAGAAUGUUAAUCCCACCUUCAGAUUCAAAUUGAACACCAUCUGUGCUUUGAUUGUUAAUAUCCUGUUUUGUUACCUUGAAUUUGCAGGUGGGAUCUGCUAUUACUUUGUGUGUGUGUGUGUGUGUGUGUGUGUGUAUGUGUGUGAGUGUAAAUUGACUGUUUUUCAAAUCUAGAUAGUUGCUGGCUCACACUGUUGUUGAUUUUAAAUUCUGAUCUGAAGUGCUCUUGAUUCUAGAAUGCCUAAUAAUUAUUUCUUCUUUCAUAGUGUAUGAAUUAUUUGCAUUUAUCAGUCACAUGGGAACAUCUACAAUGAGUGGCCAUUAUGUUUGCCAUAUCAAAAAGGAAGGAAGAUGGGUGAUCUACAAUGACCACAAGGUUUGUGCCUCAGAAAGGCCUCCUAAAGACCUGGGCUACAUGUAUUUUUACCGCAGGAUACCAAGCUAAACCUCAGACAGGAAUUGGCGAGAAGAAGCCAUACACCUUUUUAAUUUGCCAAAAACAAAAAAACAAAAACAAAAAAAAAAGAAAAAAAGUUGGGACAGCCAGACAUGAAGGAACACAUGGGGUAUAUGUAGUUUAUUUAAAGAGCGUGAUCAUUUGACGCCUUCUGAAACUGAACUGGAAAAAAAUUUCUAUUAGCAAUGAUACUCUAUUGUAGAUAGUUUUUAUAAAUGUUCAAGGAGAGGGAGCUAAAAACAAAGGAAUUCAUAUUGCUGAUGUGGCAUCUGCCAUCAUCACAUCAAAAAUGGGGAAGUGUUUCCAGCCCACUAUUUUUCUUUGGGGGUCAGUGGUAGCGGCCUCCAGAGAAAUCAAUCAGUGUAGCCAGUGGUGUGGCCUCACCUAACAAUAAACAAAAAGCCCACUUUUGUUUCAAAUAGAAAAUCAGCAGCUGGGCUGGGCUUUAUUUGUGGCAUAAUUUUUUUUCAUUAUGCACAGUCAUGUCUGACCUAUCCAUGUAUCAUAGAACAUCUGCAUUGAAAGAUAUUUUUAAUUUAAAUCAUAUCAAAAUUCAUAACACAAUUGUGUGAAUGUGUGUGAGAGUGAGCGUGAGUGUGUGACCUUUAUAGUCCACUAGAAAAAUCUGUGAUGGUUGUUUUUUAAAGGCUAAAUAGUUGGUAUUAAGCGUAUCUGGAAAAGACAAGUAAAUAUUUUAACAAAACUCUAACUCAGGAACAGUUUAAAAAUUCGUUCCCUGCUUCGAUGCUUCGAUUUUAAGGAGUAAAAAGGGCUGAGUUAACCCCUUUCAGUGCUGUCAAGAGAUCACUUGGGUUUUUGCCAUUUGAGGGUAUUUUGCUAAUACCCACAGCAGUAUAAUUUUGUCCUUUGCCAAAGGUAGAUGGAGUCUCUCUUUCUCAAUAGCCGUUCCCCCAAAGGGUACAGUGUUCUUGCUGUUGUUUUUUCUUUCUUACUUUACUUUUUCUUUUUUUAGGUAAAUAAUCUUUUCUUAUUAUACCAUGUGAUAACUUCCCAGCUUCCUGGAAUCAAGUUAAAUGCCCCAAAUUUAUCUAUUGUUUUCUUGCCUCUGAGCCUUUUGUCUGCCUUCAUUUCUGUGUUUUUCUGGGACUAGUCUCAUCUUUGCCCUUUUUUGGCUUAUUAUCUCCUAACUUGACUUCACAGCUUAUCUGCUGUGACCAACAGUGCAAUUUUUGGCACUUUAAGGAUUCAGAUGCAAAGAAACUUAUAUGAUAUCACUAAGAACAUUCUCUCCAUAUUUUGGUUAUUUCAGUAUUUUAAUUGCAACUGGGAAUAAGAGUUUCAAAUGUGAUAUAAAGUAGAACGAUAGAGUGCUAUAAUUUUCCUACUGCUUUGCACCAAAUUCUAGUCUCCAAAGUUUCUAUUUUAGAUUUUUAGUCAAAUGAAAAAGGAUUUAUUGCUAUCCUCUUGACAUGUACUCAUUUUAUUGAAAAGAUCUUUCUAGAUACUGUAGGAAAAUAAAGCAGAACCAAUUGAGAGAAAUUAACCAGAGACAUUGGAUAGGAUUUGGUGAGAUCUGAAGUCAGGAUUCUGUUUAUGACUGGGGCUCUUGUCUCACAGGAGAUCGUAUAUGCCAUGUGAGUAGGGUCAUGGAGCCUGAGACCGUUGCCUAGAGAUCUGGGUGCUGUCCCUAAUUGACUGUGGACCUUGGGCAAGUCCCUCAUCCUCCCUGUACCUCACUCUACUCACCUGUGCAGUGGUGUGUUGACACCUACUGUCUCUUUCCAGUCAUGCUUUGAGGCUACAGAGACAUCUGAUAGGAUGAGCCUUCAUAGAGUAGAGGGUGGGUGCCAUGGUGGGUCCCAGUAGAGUAUACUCCCUGCUUUCUCUCAUCUGAUGUUUUCUUCAAUUUGGGAACAAAUGAGAUUGGCAGAAGCAGAGAGCUCAUGGUGCAGUAAUCCUCUGCUACACAGUGCCCACUGGUGUUGCCUUCUAGUGUUGACUCAGAGAUCCUAAAGCAGUCCCACUCUGUUUCGUAAAGUCCCUGACCCUGGUGGAAAUCUCCACUCUAAGCAGCCUUACAAAAUCCAGUCCCCUUCUGGAUGAGUAUCAGAAUAAUGACUUGAAACGUCUAUCAGAAAUGGCUUGUUUGCAACCAUGUUACAAAGCAAAGACCUUUUUACCAGAGGAGGGUAGGGGAUCAUAGAGGGGGUUUGGAUUGAAUUGUGCACAAAGAUAGCAUGUGUAUUUUGAACAAAAGUAAAAUUUUAUAACAAAACUUUGCAAAAUCAAUGGUGUAAAAUCUGCAUUUAAGACUAUAGGCUAUAAAUUAUUUAAUUUCACUAGGUAGAAAAAGCAAUUUAGCCCUUUUGAUGCCUAAACAUAUUGUAAGAAGGUAUACUAUGGCUGCUUUUUUUUUUCUGCCUCACAAAACAAAGGGCUAUUUCUACAAGGCAAAGUUUUGUAUAUGUGCUAUUCCUUCUUUCAGAUUGAGAAUUGGGAAAAACUGGAGCAAACAAUGGAUUUCUUUCUUGCUUAAAAAUGUAUUUAUAUGUGUUUUCUAAUAGAUACAAAGGAGGGUUCCCUGGAAUAGAAGUCUGAAAUGUACUGCUUAAUUUUACACAUGUGUAUAGAUGGGAUUACUUGUGACUGAAAACUGAACUAGUGUGUGGGUUGUGUCAGCUGAACAGCCUGUUAGGAGUCCUCUGUGUGAGGCAUGGUGGUAUAAUUGUGAAAUUCUCACUAUGUGUAGGUGUCUGUGAAAGACAGCGCUUUCUUCUUGUAAAUAUCUUUUGAUAUCCAUUUGUGUAGAAUCUCAAUGAAUGUGUCUUUGGAAAAUGUAAUGUAUCAAAGUUUUAAUUUUGUCAAUUGGUCUAAACACCCAAAUAACAAUUCAGAAAUCCAGUUUGGUUCAGAUGGAAUUUUGUCUUGUAAACGAAAAAAAAAAUGCAGAAAAGACUAUUG